rnacentral:rRNA from 1 species
AACGAACGCUGGCGGCAGGCUUAACACAUGCAAGUCGAACGCGUGUAGCAAUACACGAGUGGCGCACGGGUGAGUAACGCGUGGAUAUCUGCCUUUUGGUUCGGAAUAACCCCGGGAAACUGGGGCUAAUACCGGAUGGUUCCUACGGGAUAAAGAUUUAUCGCCAAAAGAUGAGUCCGCGUACGAUUAGCUAGUUGGUGAGGUAAUGGCUCACCAAGGCGACGAUCGUUAGCUGGUCUGAGAGGACGAUCAGCCACACUGGGACUGAGACACGGCCCAGACUCCUACGGGAGGCAGCAGUGGGGAAUUUUGGACAAUGGGCGCAAGCCUGAUCCAGCCAUGCCGCGUGCGGGAAGAAGGCCUUCGGGUUGUAAACCGCUUUGUCCAGGGAGAAACGCUACUGGGCUAAUACCCUGGGGUAAUGACGGGUACCUGAAGAAUAAGCACCGGCUAACUACGUGCCAGCCGCCGCGGGUAA